rnacentral:lncRNA from 1 species
AUGAAACAUAUAUUGGAAAAGAAUAUUUUAAUUCGUCUCCAUUUACUUGCCUUUAGAUAGUUUAGAUGGUGUCUGUUUACUCACUGAGAUUUUAUAAUCUCACCACCUUCAUUUCCUCACAUUUCAAGCUCGGGGAAUUCCAUAGUUAGCUGACUUUGACAAGGACCUUCAUUUGGACUUGAAUCGGCAAAAGCUGUAGGUUUUCAACUUCCGAUGCAUUUUGGUUAGAUGUGGGCCCACGUGUC